CGAACGCUGGCGGCAGGCCUAACACAUGCAAGUCGAGCGAGGACUUCGGUCCUAGCGGCGGACGGGUGAGUAACGCGUGGGAACGUGCCCUUUGCUACGGAAUAGCCCUGGGAAACUGGGAGUAAUACCGUAUGUGCCCGAGAGGGGAAAGAUUUAUCGGUAAGGGAUUGGCCCGCGUUGGAUUAGGUAGUUGGUGGGGUAAUGGCCUACCAAGCCGACGAUCCAUAGCUGGUUUGAGAGGAUGAUCAGCCACACUGGGACUGAGACACGGCCCAGACUCCUACG
rnacentral:rRNA from 1 species